rnacentral:rRNA from 1 species
GCAUAUAACCUAGUUUUAGUCUUAAUGCAUCUGAUCCCAUCAGAUCUGGGAAGCUAAACAGAGUGGAGCCUGGUUAAAACUUGGAAUGCAGACCUCCAUGGAGUGCUGAGUGUUACAGGCU